GAACGCUAGCGGCAGGCCUAAUACAUGCAAGUCGGACGGGAUCCAUCGGAGAGCUUGCUCGAAGAUGGUGAGAGUGGCGCACGGGUGCGUAACGCGUGAGCAACCUACCUCUAUCAGGGGGAUAGCCUCUCGAAAGAGAGAUUAACACCGCAUAAUAUAAUUUCCCGGCAUCGAGGAAUUAUUAAAUAUUUAUAGGAUAGAGAUGGGCUCGCGUGACAUUAGCUAGUUGGUAGGGUAACGGCUUACCAAGGCGACGAUGUCUAGGGGCUCUGAGAGGAGAAUCCCCCACACUGGUACUGAGACACGGACCAGACUCCUACGGGAGGCAGCAGUAAGGAAUAUUGGUCAAUGGGCGGAAGCCUGAACCAGCCAUGCCGCGUGCAGGAUGACUGCCCUAUGGGUUGUAAACUGCUUUUGUCCAGGAAUAAACCUAGAUACGUGUAUCUAGCUGAAUGUACUGGAAGAAUAAGGAUCGGCUAACUCCGUG
rnacentral:rRNA from 1 species